rnacentral:rRNA from 1 species
CCCCUUAGAUGUUCUGGGCUGCACACGUGCUACACUGGCAGGUUCAGCGAGCUUCAUGCCCUGAUCUGAAAGGAAUGGGAAAUCUUUUCAAAACCUGCCGUGCUUGGGAUAGAUGUUUGCAAUUAUUCAUCUUCAACGAGGAUUGCCUUGUAAGCGCACGUCAUCAGCGUGCAUUGAAUACGACCCUGUAUUCUGUACACACCGCCCGUCGCUCCUACCGAUUGAAGUUUUCGGUGAGUUGACAGGAGGAUUUUUUUGAAACUGGUUCGCCAGUGGAUUUUAGAUCCAAAUGCCAACGAAUCGAUGGCUUUAGAGGAAGGAGAAGUCGUAACA